rnacentral:rRNA from 1 species
CCUACGGGUGGCAGCAGUGAGGAAUAUUGGUCAAUGGCCGGAAGGCUGAACCAGCCAUGCCGCGUGAAGGUCAGUGCCCUAUGGGCGUUAAACUUCUUUUGUGCGGGAGCAAUAAUGGUCACGUGUGGCCAGACGAGAGUACCGUACGAAUAAGCAUCGGCUAACUCCGUGCCAGCAGCCGCGGUAAUACGGGGGAUGCAAGCGUUAUCCGGAUUUAUUGGGUUUAAAGGGUGCGUAGGCUGUGAGGUAAGUCAGCGGUGAAAUGCCCCCGCACAACGGGGUGAAGUGCCAUUGAUACUGCCAUGCUAGAAUGCGGAAGACGUGGGAGGAAUGUUUGGUGUAGCGGUAAAAUCCAUAGAGAUCAAACAGAAUACCGAUUGCGAAGGCGACCUGCGAAUCCGUGACUGACGCUGAUGCGCGAAAGCGUGGGGAGCAAACAGGAUUAGAUACCCCGGUAGUC